AGAGUUUGAUCCUGGCUCAGAAUCAACGCUGGCGGCGUGCCUAACACAUGCAAGUCGAACGCGAAAGUGGAGCAAUCCAUGAGUAGAGUGGCAAACGGGUGAGUAACGCGUGGGUGACCUGCCUUCGAGUGGGGGAUAACGUUUCGAAAGGAACGCUAAUACCGCAUAACAUCCUGCUUUUUAAGAGGUGGAGAGCAAAGCCGGGGAUCGCAAGACCUGGCGCUUGAAGAGGGGCCCGCGUCUGAUUAGCUAGUUGGUGGGGUAAUGGCUCACCAAGGCAACGAUCAGUAUCCGGCCUGAGAGGGCGGACGGACACACUGGGACUGAGACACGGCCCAGNACUCCUACGGGAGGCAGCAGUGGGGAAUUGUUCGCAAUGGGCGCAAGCCUGACGACGCAACGCCGCGUGGAGGAUGAAGACCUUCGGGUCGUAAACUCCUUUCGAUCGAGACGAAUGGGUUCCGGGCUAACAUCCCGGAGUAUUGACGGUACCGAGAGAAGGAGCCCCGGCUAACUCCGUGCCAGCAGCCGCGGUAAUACGUAGGGUGCAAGCGUUGUCCGGAAUUAUUGGGCGUAAAGAGCUCGUAGGCGGUCUGUCACGUCGGACGUGAAAAUCCAGGGCUCAACCCUGGACCUGCGUUCGAUACGGGCAGACUANAGUUCGGUAGGGGAGACUGGAAUUCCUGGUGUAGCGGCGAAAUGC
rnacentral:rRNA from 1 species